CCCAGCCGACUGGUAUGAGGAAAAGAAGCCCAGCCCACCUGCUACCGCGAUCCCCUCCCCUAACCUUCGAACUACAUGACGCCGCAACCACCGCCUCCCUCCCUGCCUCGCCCCGCCGCCGGGCCCCGGCCAUGAAUCGCACCGCCGCCCUGCCCCGACCUUCAACCGCGCCGCCGCCGCAUCCUCCCCCCCGUGCCGCCGCCGCCACCCUCCCCACCUCGCCACCAACCGGCGCUGCGCCGCACCCCUGACCCCAGCCGGAGAUGCCGCCUCACCUCCUCCCUGGAUCUCGUGCCAUCCUCCCCCACACACUGCCGCUGACGAAGGGAGCAACCACCGGUGUGGACUGCUCCACCACCUACCGGCCUUCACCACUCCCCUCCACCAACAUCGGCCCCGCCCCAUCCACAGAGCCUGGCGUCCCCCAUCUCCCUCCACCUUCCUCUAUGCGUGAUGGACGCCAUGGCACGGGACCGUGAGCUCGCCGGAUUCCUUCCCCUACAGCCAGCGCCACCACCUACAGCUGGCGCCACAGUCGUCCAGGCCGUUCAACUUCGCCGCCUUAGGCCGUGCAACUCCGCCCGUGUGAGCGCGCGUCGCUCCUCCGCAGCUUCUCCACUUCGAGAUGGCAGGUGACCUCGUUGAUGUCUGAAGCUACUUCCUCCCCCCUGUCCUAAAACUGAAUCCAUAUCAAAGCAUCGAUUCCUCCCCCUGUCUAGUCUUGUAUUUGUUCUCUAAGUGAUUUUCAUUGAUGUCUGAAGUUCAUAUGUAUCUGCAGCUGCAAAACACUCGUUUUUUUGGGUCUGAAGUUCAGAUGUAUCUGAAGCUGCAAAACACUCACUUUUUUUGGUCCUUUGUUUUCAGUUUCACAAGCCGCAGCCCAUGUGCGCCCCCACCCCAUCCAAACCGACAAAGCCGCUUCCACCCCGCCCCCAACCGGUGACGCUGCCGCAGUCCCGCCCCCAACCGAGCGCCGCCCCUGCUCCUUCAGCUCCCUGUCUCGCGUGCCUUGUUCCACUAGCCACCGGCUCCGUCCGCCAUCCUUACUCUCCUGAACUUCUUCUCCGUCGGCAGGGACGAGCAGGAAGCUGUCAUCCAUGUCGUCCUCACCCACCAUCAGCUUGUGAAAAAAGUUAAUUGCUGGCGCUUAGGUCCAACGCCAAAACCAGGCAAAUGUGCGGCUGAAGAAGUUCAAACAUGGGGCGCGGAGCAGCUGGAGGUCAGCGAGCAAGGGGGCGAAGCUAAAAUGGAGCAGACGAAAUCUUUGCACAGUGGCGCACAAGCCCUGAGUGUGUGCGGUGUGCCUUCGAGCAGCUACCAUGCGUGAUGCGAGCAACUUGGGAAGCAAUAAUACUACUGGAGAAGGAACCUCGAGAUGACUGAAGUCCAACUAUUGCGUUGGACAAGGUCCAUCAAAUUCGUGGUUGAUAAAUUCAACCCUCCCAGGAUGUGCCUAUUAUUUUUAAUAUAUCACAAAGAUGAAUGCAUAUACACAAAGAUGAACAUUGUUGUGAACUCUUAUUAUAUUUUGCAGGGGAAGAUUUCAGAUGUUGAUAUUCAGCAUAUUGCCAAAAGAGUUCGGUGAAAAAAAUCACUCUCCAAAAGACAUCCAAGUAAUAUUUUCAAGAGGCAGAUGAAAAAAAUGUUGAUGGCGAGAUAGAUUUUGGCGAAUUUGCCAGGAUGAUGAAAAAGACCAGCUAUGAUGAUAACUAGGUGGGGAGAUGUCAUUUUUGAGAGUGUGGAUCUUUUUGUAGUUUUUCAAUAACCACCGCAUGUAUGCGUGAUGUACUUAUUGAAGCUUUGGCUGCAUGUCCAUGUACAGUGUGAAUUACUAGAUGAAAAUGGGUGUUCGCCCUAUAGGAUGCUGCUUGCACUUAAUGUAUAUGAUUUUUAUUUUUUGAGUUGUUGAUUUGUGUAAGGUA